UGCAAGUCGAGCGGUAACAGGAAUUAGCUUGCUAAUUUGCUGAUGAGCGGCGGACGGGGGAGUAACGCGUAGGAAUCUGCCUGGUAGUGGGGGACAACCUGUGGAAACGCAUGCUAAUACCGCAUACGCCCUACGGGGGAAAGGAGGGGAUCUUCGGACCUUUCGCUAUCAGAUGAGCCUGCGUGAGAUUAGCUAGUUGGUGGGGUAAAGGCUCACCAAGGCGACGAUCUCUAGCUGGUCUGAGAGGAUGAUCAGCCACACUGGGACUGAGACACGGCCCAGACUCCUACGGGAGGCAGCAGUGGGGAAUAUUGGACAAUGGGCGCAAGCCUGAUCCAGCCAUGCCGCGUGUGUGAAGAAGGCC
rnacentral:rRNA from 1 species